UGGUAGUNCACGCCGUAAACGAUGAGUGCUAGGUGUUAGGCCCUUUCCGGGGCUUAGUGCCGCAGCUAACGCAUUAAGCACUCCGCCUGGGGAGUACGACCGCAAGGUUGAAACUCAAAGGAAUUGACGGGGGCCCGCACAAGCGGUGGAGCAUGUGGUUUAAUUCGAAGCAACGCGAAGAACCUUACCAGGUCUUGACAUCCCUCUGACCGCUCUAGAGAUAGAGUUUUCCUUCGGGACAGAGGUGACAGGUGGUGCAUGGUUGUCGUCAGCUCGUGUCGUGAGAUGUUGGGUUAANNNNNNCAACGAGCGCAACCCCUAUUGUUAGUUGCCAUCAUUGAGUUGGGCACUCUAGCGGGACUGCCGGUAAUAAACCGGAGGAAGGUGGGGAUGACGUCAAAUCAUCAUGCCCCUUAUGACCUGGGCUACACACGUGCUACAAUGGCUGGUACAACGAGUCGCAAGCCGGUGACGGCAAGCUAAUCUCUGAAAGCCAGUCUCAGUUCGGAUUGUAGGCUGCAACUCGCCUACAUGAAGUCGGAAUCGCUAGUAAUCGCGGAUCAGCACGCCGCGGUGAAUACGUUCCCGGGCCUU
rnacentral:rRNA from 1 species